rnacentral:misc_RNA from 1 species
GAUGAAGAACGUAGCGAAAUGCGAUAAGUAAUGUGAAUUGCAGAAUCCAGUGAAUCAUCGAAUCUUUGAACGCACAUUGCGCCCGCCAGCAUUCUGGCGGGCAUGCCUGUUCGAGCAUCAUUUCAACCCUCGACCUCCCCUUGGGGAGGUCGGCGUUGGGGACCGGCAGCACACCGCCGGCCCUGAAAUGGAGUGGCGGCCCGUCUGCGGCGACCUCUGCGUAGUAAUACAGCUCGCACCGGAACCCCGACGCGGCCACGCCGUAAAACACCCAACUUCUGAACGUUGACCUCGAAUCAGGUAGGACUACCCGCUGAACUUAAGCAUAUCAAUAAGCGGAGGA